rnacentral:rRNA from 1 species
UUCUUGUGUGACCGCGUACUUUUUGUAGAACGGGCCAACGAGUUACGUUAAGUAGCAAGGUUAAGCACUUAAGGUGCGGAGCCGUAGCGAAAGCGAGUUUUAACUGAGCGUUCAGUUACUUGACGGAGACCCGAAACCGGGCGACCUACCCAUGAGCAGGAUGAAGCGAAAGUAAAAGUUCGUGGAGGUCCGAACCCACGAGCGUUGAAAAGCUCGGGGAUGACUUGUGGGUAGCGGUGAAAUUCCAAUCGAGCCCGGAGAUAGCUGGUUCUCCCCGAAAUAGCUUUAGGGCUAGCCUCAAGGUGAGAGAUACGGAGGUAGAGCACUGAAUGUCCUAGGGG